rnacentral:rRNA from 1 species
UACAGAGGGGGCCAGCGUUAUUCGGAAUUAUUGGGCGUAAAGAGCUCGUAGGCGGUUCGGUAAGUCGGGUGUGAAACCUCCAGGCUCAACCUGGAGAGGCCACCUGAUACUGCUGUGACUCGAGUCCGGUAGGGGAGCGUGGAAUUCCUGGUGUAGCGGUGAAAUGCGCAGAUAUCAGGAGGAACACCAGCGGCGAAGGCGGCGCUCUGGGCCGGAACUGACGCUGAGGAGCGAAAGCGUGGGUAGCAAACAGG